rnacentral:rRNA from 1 species
UACGUAGGGUGCAAGCGUUAAUCGGAAUUACUGGGCGUAAAGCGUGCGCAGGCGGUUUUGUAAGUCUGUCGUGAAAGCCCCGGGUUCAACCUGGGAAUUGCGAUGGAGACUGCAAGGCUUGAAUCUGGCAGAGGGGGGUAGAAUUCCACGUGUAGCAGUGAAAUGCGUAGAGAUGUGGAGGAACACCGAUGGCGAAGGCAGCCCCCUGGGUCAAGAUUGACGCUCAUGCACGAAAGCGUGGGGAGCAAACAGG